CUAUAUGUACCCUGUAGACUCGAAUUUGUGUGAGCGUCUCCCAGUCACAAAUUCGUCUCUAGGGGAAUCUAUGGG
rfam:Merops nubicus contig64195, whole genome shotgun sequence.